AUAUAUAUUCACCUUACAGGUCCCGCGAGGGUAUAAGGGAAGACGGUUAAAAGCCGUCGCGGUCCCGCCGCUGUAAUUGGGGACGAAACCGGCAAGAAGCCACUGGGGUAAAAUCCCGGGAAGGCGCCGGGACUAGGACGAUCCAAGAGCCAGAAGACCUUCCUGUGAGCGCUGGCGGAC
rnacentral:ncRNA from 2 species